ensembl:lncRNA
CGUGCUUGAAGCAGGUCAGUCGUGAAAGGAAGAGGCGCCCAAUGGGGUGAAGAGGGAAAAAAAAAAGAAACACGGCGAGGGACGAGAGGCCUCAAAGGAGCUCCUUGGCAACAGCCAAAAACCAACACAACCCACAACGUCGGCUUUGUAAACCUAGGGAGGCGCCCGUCUCUUCGCGGGGAUGAGCAGCAGAGAAAGCCAUUGCUGGUUGAGGAAGAAAAUGGGGCCUUUACCAUUGAAGACUUGGAAGAAAGUUUACGAAACCUGAAGGUUCAGGUGGACAGCUUAGCCUCCAGUCUAACUGUCCAUCCAGAUCGAGAUUACCCUUCUGCUUUGGAACACCUGGCUGACCCAAGUCCCUUAAGUUCCAAAUGGCACCCAUCAGGGCCACGCACAGAGACCAAAUGGUUACUGAAAGCAAAGCAUCUUGCGAGAUCGUUAGACGAUAACUUGAAUUUGAUGGAUUUGGCCAUUCCAACCUUAAAUUCAUCCCCACUAAAUGAAACUUCAGGAUUCUUUGGCACUGCGAGUCAGAACUCUCCUGCCUUGGGGGAUCUUUCUGCCCCAUUGAAACUCGGGGCCCCUCAUGUGAUUGGCGUCAAGUCUUUGCUGCCCCCCAAGAUUCCAGUCCGAGCUUGCUUGCCAGAAAGAUCCUCUUUCACAUUGCGCAGAGGCCGUUCGCUGAGUCACUCUGAGGUUACCCACUCCUGCUCCUUCUCUCCGGAUGCCAAACGUCCACGUUGGCUCCGAUCACGCUCUCAGUCUCCGAGGCCUAUCUGGAGACCCACCUCAGCUAAGGCUAAUGCCUGUGCCCAGCCUCCACCUCAGCUGGGGAAGCCCAGGGGAGUCAGGAAGAAAAGCAUAUCAAGCAGACAAUCGCGGUUGAGAUUCUUCAGGCCAGGAACAUUAGCAUUGAAAUCCUGGCCUUCCACUAAGGCAGUUGGACAGAGGACACCGAGGGAGCCUUGGAGUCCUUACAGUUUGGCUUCUCCUGAUCUCUCCUCGCCCACCGCAGAGGAGAUCAACGAACGCUUCCUGCAGACGCUUUCUGAAAGCACGAUGGGGAGAGACCUGAUUGAAAUGUCUCCGUACCAGAAGGAGCUGGCUCGUCUCCGACUCGAGCGCCUGCGUGUGGAAGAGGGCUGGCUGUUGGAAUUAAAGAGGCAGCAGGAACUGGAACGAACCCGUGGCCCCAGGCCCAAGUGGUACGAAAUGAGGGACUCUCAAUUCCACUACGAAGCUCACAAGAACAACAAACUUCUGAGAAGCAGCCCAGAGAUACAGUCGGUCUUUGAUUAUAGGGAGGCGCUAUCAAGAGCAUCAGAAGACUUCCAGCAGCAACAGAAGCCCAUUUGCACCUCCCUCAAGGCCUACUGGUAAAGAGCCAAAGGAGACAUUGGGCAUCAGAAGAGAUAGAAGAAAGGCAGGUCAGGAUGAGCAGGGCCUUCCUCUGUUCCCAGUGAAUGAUGGUCUGUUUGGGGGAGGAUGGUGGUGCGAUUCUGAGUGCCCAGCCCAGUCAUUUUUAUGCCUUGAUUGCUCAGAGCUGAUUUAAACUUUGAGAAGUGCUACAGGACAUGGUCUCUUUAGUUUAGUGGAAUGAAAUGAAAUGAGCAAAAAUUCCUUACUAGAGAAAAAGGUAACCGGAUAUCCUGAUUUACUGGGAGAACUGCGCAAAACAUGGGACAUCUCUGUGUCAAAGGCAGUGUGGGUUGUUUAUGGCUUGGUGUGUGCAGAUUUGAUGUGUGUGCGUGUGCCUUUUUUUGACACCUGAAUUUGAUUGUUAUUGCCUGCAGUCUCAAACUAGUUCAGCAAAGGACGCUCACUCUUGAUUUUCCCUCAUUUGCUUUAACUUUUUGAUUAGGAGAGCACUGAAUUAAAAAAAACCCUGAUUACUAAUCAAGAAAAUCUUCUUUGGCUCAAACAAAAAAAGAUAAAUAUUACACUAGAAGAAAAAAAACUGAGCAUGUGCGUUUUCCAUCUUUUAUAGAAUGCUUUUAUAUUUGGUUGCUCUCGUAUUUCAACGUAGUGGUAGUUUUUAAUAUUUUUUUGAGGUUCAUUUAAUUCUUAGACUUGCAAAGAGAAGAUAUCUAACCUGUUAUUGAUUUGCCAGAGGGGUUCUAGAUGUACACAUCUCUUUUAUUGAAGCACUCUUUUUAUGGCUGUCUCACAAGCAUUUUGGUAUCGUCCUUGAUGAGUAACUGCAGAAACCUAUCUUACGUGGAAUAAAUCCAACCAAGGAAUUAAAACCAUCCCGCUAUUAAC